rnacentral:rRNA from 1 species
GACAGAGGUGCCGAGCGUUAGGCGGAAUCACUGGGCUUAAAGCGUGUGUAGGCGGAUCGUUAAGUACCUUGUGAAAUCCCCCGGCUCAACCGGGGGAACUGCUGGGGUAUACUGGCGAUCUUGAGCGAUCUAGGGGCAGAUGGAACAAGUGGUGGAGCGGUGAAAUGCGUAGAUAUCACUUGGAACGCCAAAGGUGAAGACAGUCUGCUGGGGAUCUGCUGACGCUGAGACACGAAAGCCAGGGGAGCGAACGGG